rnacentral:rRNA from 1 species
GAGUUUGAUCUUGGCUCAGGGUGGUAGGAACAUUGAGGCUGGGGCCGCCUGAGGCUUUGGCAUGAGGCUGGGGGGCGUGAGGAGAGAUGUGAAACAGUUACACCGGGGUGGAAGGUGUCAGAGAGGCCUCUCAGUUUCUAGCUUGAGUCGGCAGGCAGGCCAUGGUGGUGGCUGGUGGGGGAAGGUCACCACUGCCCCACGGCCAGAGAGGAUUGCCUCUGAGCCAGGGAUGUCCAGGGCUGCCUCUGAGAGAGGUACAGGUGGGAGUGGACACGGGCAGGUCAACCACUGUCCCUGCCCCAUGACCCCGACCACAGGUCAGAUGACCCAGAUGUGGGGGGCCGA